AGGAAGUGGGAGGAUGUCUGUGUCUAAAAUUGGUUCUUAUUGUAGCCCAGUGGGUUUGUUUUGGUGUUUAUGGAUGAGUGGUACCGGAGGUUGAAGGAGAGGCACUUCCCAAGAAUGGAUCUCAGUGUAGUCUUGGUUCCUUGAAGACCAAGGACCUUCAAUUGAGACACUGUGGACACAGACAGAAAGGCAUGAGAAAGAAAUCUUUUCAGGGGAAGCAGAUGCUGACAGAGAAGGUCUGAGCAGCUAUGGUCAUGAUUGAGGAAAACACUCAAAUGACGUCUGGGGUGUUGAGUACAUAUAAGGGUGGUUGUGAGACAGACCACGGGACUCCAGAAAACCAAGGUGAGGACUUGGAGAGGGGCGGGAGGCUCUGUAGUA
rnacentral:lncRNA from 1 species